rnacentral:rRNA from 1 species
UACAGAGGGGGCAAGCGUUGUUCGGAAUUACUGGGCGUAAAGGGCGCGUAGGCGGCCUGUUAAGUCGAACGUGAAAUCCCCGGGCUCAACCCGGGAACUGCGUCCGAUACUGGCAGGCUUGAAUCCGGGAGAGGGAUGCGGAAUUCCAGGUGUAGCGGUGAAAUGCGUAGAUAUCUGGAGGAACACCGGCGGCGAAGGCGGCAUCCUGGACCGGCAUUGACGCUGAGGCGCGAAAGCCAGGGGAGCAAACGGG